CCAAGUGAGGCACAAAUAAGUGCUAACAACCAAUUAAACAACAAAACACUAAAGCUUACAAAACAUGAACAAGAAGAUGAAAAUACCCAAAACAGAACUGCUUCAGUGCGGACUGAAUAUCUCACGAACCAGACCUGAUUUCGACGAUCCGAACGGUGAAAAUGUAGCCCCUGGAGCUGCGAACCUGCCCUCCAAAUUUGAGCGAUAUCCAACGGUUAACGAAUCGGGAAUCAGAGUUUUAGUGGGACUGAUUUGAGAAAAACGGGAAUUGUUUUCUCUCUUCUUUUCUCUCUUUUUGAAGGUUGUUCUCUCACAAAAUUUACUCACAUAAUAACCCUAGUAUGACCACUCUUCACUUAUAUAAGUGAGACAUAAUGGGCUAAUAAAAUUGGACUUUUCUCCACAUAGGAAGGGAGCCCAAAACCCAACAAAUCUCCCCCUCACAAAUAUGUGGAGG
rnacentral:lncRNA from 1 species